GAUCCUGGCUCAGGAUGAACGCUAGCCACAGGCUUAACACAUGCAAGUCGAGGGGGCGAGCAUGGUCUUAGCUUGCUAAGGCCGAUGGCGACCGGCGCACGGGUGAGUAACACGUAUCCAACCUGCCGUCUACUCUUGGACAGCCUUCUGAAAGGAAGAUUAAUACAAGAUGGCAUCAUGAGUCCGCAUGUUCACAUGAUUAAAGGUAUUCCGGUAGACGAUGGGG
rnacentral:rRNA from 1 species